UACGUAGGGUGCAAGCGUUGUCCGGAAUUAUUGGGCGUAAAGAGCUCGUAGGCGGUUCGUCGCGUCGGCUGUGAAAUCCCGAGGCUCAACCUCGGGUCUGCAGUCGAUACGGGCGGACUGGAGUACUGCAGGGGAGACUGGAAUUCCUGGUGUAGCGGUGAGAUGCGCAGAUAUCAGGAGGAACACCGGUGGCGAAGGCGGGUCUCUGGGCAGUUACUGACGCUGAGGAGCGAAAGCGUGGGGAGCGAACAGG
rnacentral:rRNA from 1 species